rnacentral:rRNA from 1 species
UACAGGGGGUGCAAACGUUUGCUCGGAAUUAUUGGGCGUAAAGCGCGCGUAGGCGGCUACCUAAGUCGGAUGUGAAAGCCCCUGGCUUAACUGGGGGAAGUGCACCCGAAACUGGGUAGCUAGAGUGCAAAAGAGGGUCGCGGAAUUCCCGGUGUAGAGGUGAAAUUCGUAGAUAUCGGGAGGAACACCGGUGGCGAAGGCGGCGACCUGGGUUGACACUGACGCUGAGGAGCGAAAGCGUGGGGGAGCAAACAGG